GGUAACUUCAGCGCCAACAGAUGCUCCGAAAUGUUCGUAGAUGCCCGUCCUGCCCAACUUCAAACAACGCAGAAACACCAGGCAGCGGUGAAAUAUCUGAAUCAAAAAGGAACUAAGUCAAAUGUUUUCGUCGGUGGCAAAGCAAACCCAAAAGGUGGUUACUUGUGGUUGGAUGGCAGUGAUAUCAAGAACAACACGUGGUGUCCGGGCGAGCC